AGUGGGGAAUAUUGCACAAUGGAGGAAACUCUGAUGCAGCGACGCCGCGUGAGCGAAGAAGGCUUUCGAGUCGUAAAGCUCUGUCCUAAGAGAAGAAGAAGUGACGGUAACUUAGGAGGAAGCCCCGGCUAACUACGUGCCAGCAGCCGCGGUAAUACGUAGGGGGCUAGCGUUGUCCGGAAUUACUGGGCGUAAAGGGUGAGUAGGUGGUCAUUAAAGUCAGAUGUAAAAGGCAAUGGCUCAACCAUUGUAAGCAUUUGAAACUUAAUGACUUGAGUGCAGGAGAGGUAAAUGGAAUUCCUAGUGUAGCGGUGAAAUGCGUAGAUAUUAGGAAGAACACCAGUGGCGAAGGCGAUUUACUGGACUGUAACUGACACUGAGUCACGAAAGCGUGGGGAGCGAACAGGAUUAGAUACCCUGGUAGUCCACGCUGUAAACGAUGAGUGCUAGGUGUCGGCAAGAGAUUGUCGGUGCCGCAGUUAACGCAUUAAGCACUCCGCCUGGGGAGUACAAUCGCAAGAUUG
rnacentral:rRNA from 1 species